rnacentral:misc_RNA from 1 species
GAAUUGCGAAAAGUAAUGUGAAUUGCAGAAUUCCGUGAAUCAUCGAAUCUUUGAACGCAUAUUGCGCUCUUUGGUUCUCCAAAGAGCAUGCCUGUUUGAGUAUCAGUAAAUCAACUCAUACCCCCCUAUGGGUGUGUGGUCAUGAGCGCUCCGGUGCGAGGCGGUCGCCUUGCGUCGGUCGCUUGAAAGGGAACGGGAGCCGCAUAGGGCUACUUCCCGGCUGGCGUAGUAGUUCUCUUUGGAGAUUUCAUCGCCUAUGGCUGGGUAACUGCCUGUGACUGCCGACACAAAACACACGAUACGGUGCGCGUCUCGCGGCGUGCACAUGAACUUGAUCUCAAAUCAGGCAAGACUACCCGCUGAAUUUAA